rnacentral:rRNA from 1 species
GGCCAGACUCCUACGGGAGGCAGCAGUGGGGAAUAUUGCACAAUGGGGGAAACCCUGAUGCAGCGACGCCGCGUGAGUGAAGAAGUAUUUCGGUAUGUAAAGCUCUCUCAGCAGGGAAGAAAAACCGACCAUAGGGUCGCUAGACGGUACCUGAUUAAGAAGCCCCGGCUAACUACGUGCCAGCAGCCGCGGUAAUACGGAGGAUGCGAGCGUUAUCCGGAUUUAUUGGGUUUAAAGGGUGCGUAGGCGGAAUAUCAAGUCAGCGGUAAAAAUUCGGGGCUCAACCCCGUCGUGCCGUUGAAACUGAUGUUCUUGAGUGGGCGAGAAGUAUGCGGAAUGCGUGGUGUAGCGGUGAAAUGCAUAGAUAUCACGCAGAACUCCGAUUGCGAAGGCAGCAUACCGGCGCCCAACUGACGCUGAAGCACGAAAGCGUGGGUAUCGAACAGGAUUAGAUACCCCAGUAA